GAUGAACGCUAGCGGCAGGCCUAAUACAUGCAAGUCGAACGGUGUAGCAAUACACAGUGGCGCACGGGUGCGUAACACGUAUGCAACCUACCUUACAUUGGGGGAUAGCCUUUCGAAAGGGAGAUUAAUACCGCAUAAGACAGUGACUAGGCAUCUAGUAGCUGUUAAAGAUUUAUCGAUGUAAGCUGGGCAUGCGUCCAAUUAGUUAGUUGGCGAGGUAAUGGCUCACCAAGACGAUGAUUGGUAGGGGAACUGAGAGGUCAAUCCCCCACACUGGCACUGAGAUACGGGCCAGACUCCUACGGGAGGCAGCAGUAGGGAAUAUGGGGCAAUGGGCACAAGCCUGACCCAGCCAUGCCGCGUGCAGGAAGAAGGCGUUAUGCGUUGUAAACUGCUUUUAUACAGGAAGAAACGACCCUUGCGAGGGGCAUUGACGGUACUGUAUGAAUAAGCACCGGCUAACUCCGUGCCAGCCGCCGCGGUAAAAC
rnacentral:rRNA from 1 species